rnacentral:rRNA from 1 species
AUACGUAGGGGGCGAGCGUUGUCCGGAAUGAUUGGGCGUAAAGGGCGCGUAGGCGGCCCGGUAAGUCUGGAGUGAAAGUCCUGUUUUUAAGAUGGGAAUUGCUUUGGAUACUGUCGGGCUUGAGUGCAGGAGAGGUAAGUGGAAUUCCCAGUGUAGCGGUGAAAUGCGUAGAGAUUGGGAGGAACACCAGAGGCGAAGGCGACUUACUGGACUGUAACUGACGCUGAGGCGCGAAAGGGUGGGGAGCAAACAGGAUUAGAUACCCUGGUAGUCCACACUGUAAACGAUGAAUGCUAGGUGUAGGGGGUAUCGACCCCUUCUGUGCCGCAGUCAACACAAUAAGCAUUCCGCCUGGGGAGUACGGCCGCAAGGUUGAAACUCAAAUGAAUUGACGGGU